UGGCCGGCGGCCUAACACAUGCAAGUCGAGCGCGCCCUUCGGGGUGAGCGGCGGACGGGUUAGUAACGCGUGGGAAUAUGCCCGACACUAAGGAAUAGCCUCUGGAAACGGAGAGUAAUACCUUAUACGCCCUUCGGGGGAAAGAUUUAUCGGUGACGGAUUAGCCCGCGUUAGAUUAGAUAGUUGGUGGGGUAAUGGCCUACCAAGUCUACGAUCUAUAGCUGGUUUUAGGGGAUGAUCAGCAACACUGGGACUGAGACACGGCCCAGACUCCUACGGGAGGCAGCAGUGGGGAAUCUUGGACAAUGGGCGCAAGCCUGAUCCAGCCAUGCCGCGUGAGUGAUGAAGGCCUUAGGGUCGUAAAGCUCUUUCGCCAGGGAUGAUAAUGACAGUACCUGAUAAAGAAACCCCGGCUAACUCCGUGCCAGCAGCCGCGGUAAUACGGAGGGGGUUAGCGUUGUUCGGAAUUACUGGGCGUAAAGCGCACGUAGGCGGACCAGUCAGUCAGGGGUGAAAUCCCGGGGCUCAACCCCGGAACUGCCUUUGAUACUGCUGGUCUUGAGGUCGAGAGAGGUGAGUGGAAUUCCGAGUGUAGAGGUGAAAUUCGUAGAUAUUCGGAGGAACACCAGUGGCGAAGGCGGCUCACUGGCUCGAUACUGACGCUGAGGUACGAAAGUGUGGGGAGCAAACAGGAUUAGAUACCCUGGUAGUCCACACCGUAAACGAUGAAUGCCAGUCGUCGGGUAGCAUGCUAUUCGGUGAC
rnacentral:rRNA from 1 species